GUGAGGUGACGAUAAAAUUCAUUAUUCACUGAUUUUUUUAAAGUGAUGUUAAAAGUGAAUCUCGACAGGUUCUGAUUGC